rnacentral:rRNA from 1 species
UACGGAGGGGGCUAGCGUUGUUCGGAAUUACUGGGCGUAAAGCGCGCGUAGGCGGACCUGCAAGUCGGGGGUGAAAGCCCGAGGCUCAACCUCGGAACUGCCUUCGAUACUGCGGGUCUCGAGUCCGGGAGAGGUGGAGUGGAAUUCCUAGUGUAGAGGUGAAAUUCGUAGAUAUUAGGAAGAACACCAGUGGCGAAGGCGGCUCACUGGCCCGGUACUGACGCUGAGGCGCGAAAGCGUGGGGAGCAAA